rnacentral:misc_RNA from 1 species
GGAUCAUUAACGCAUUCGCAGCAGGCUCGCUGUGAUUUGCAACGAAAAACACGUCCAAAAAGUCACGAAACACUGCCCGCGUGCCGCGUCGGCAUGAAGCCGUCGCCACGCGGGUCCGUCCGCUCCAAUAUUUUCGGGGUACCUACCUCUACCACUCACAAAUUUAAUUUGUUGUCCUCGAUGCGACCCACGGUGACGGCUUAGAGCCCGUGUGCUCGCCGGGUCGCUACGGUUCAAAGAGUGGCCGGCUCGCCGGCGACCGCCCCGACGUCCGAAAAAAAAACACGAAAAAACAUUCGUCCAGUCCGAUAAGAGAACCCCGGGGUACCUAUGCCCUUCUUGCUCGAUCCUGCUCGCUGGAGGCGCGCUCGCCAUCCUUGGGUCGGCACGCGUUUUGGGCGGGAGCUCCAAUUGCUCGUAUUUUGGCCGCGACGGUUCAAAGAGCCGACCGUGACCGUGCUCGCGUCGGUCGCCGCCCCGGGUCUCUCUAUUUUUAUUCUUUCACAUAUCAAGACAAAAUUUUUAUUUGGCCGUUAAAGAAAGUGGUAGCUUGCUUUUGCUUGCCCACUUAAAAAAAAAACGAAUGACAAAAAUAACUUUGAGCGGUGGAUCACUCGGCUCGUGCGUCGAUGA